CAGCAGCCGCGGUAAUACGUAGGGUGCAAGCGUUAAUCGGAAUUACUGGGCGUAAAGCGUGCGCAGGCGGUUAUAUAAGACAGAUGUGAAAUCCCCGGGCUCAACCUGGGAACUGCAUUUGUGACUGUAUAGCUAGAGUACGGCAGAGGGGGAUGGAAUUCCGCGUGUAGCAGUGAAAUGCGUAGAUAUGCGGAGGAACACCGGUGGCGAAGGCGGCUCACUGGUCCGGAACUGACGCUGAGGCACGACAGCGUGGGGAGCAAACAGGAUUAGAUACCCCUGUAGUCCCUGUCUCUUAUAC
rnacentral:rRNA from 1 species